rnacentral:rRNA from 1 species
AACGAACGCUGGCGGCGCGCCUAAUACAUGCAAGUCGAGCGAGAAGACGUAGCAAUACGUUUGUAAAGCGGCGAACGGGUGAGGAACACAUGGGUAACCUACCCUAGAGUGGGGAAUAACUAGCCGAAAGGUUAGCUAAUACCGCGUACGCUCCUUGGACUUCGGUACAGGGAGGAAAGCGAUACCGUGGGUAUCGCGCUCUUGGAUGGGCUCAUGUCCUAUCAGCUUGUUGGUGAGGAACGGCUCACCAAGGCUUCGACGGGUAGCUGGUCUGAGAGGACGAUCAGCCACACUGGCACUGCGACACGGGCCAGACUCCUACGGGAGGCAGCAGUAAGGAAUAUUGCGCAAUGGGCGAAAGCCUGACGCAGCGACGCCGCGUGGGGGAGUGAAGGU